GACGAACGCUGGCGGCGUGCUUAACACAUGCAAGUCGAACGGAAAGGCCCUGCUUGCAGGGUACUCGAGUGGCGAACGGGUGAGUAACACGUGGGUGAUCUGCCCUGCACUUCGGGAUAAGCCUGGGAAACUGGGUCUAAUACCGGAUAGGAGCCAUUUUUAGUGUGAUGGUUGGAAAGUUUUUUUCGGUGUAGGAUGAGCUCGCGGCCUAUCAGCUUGUUGGUGGGGUAAUGGCCUACCAAGGCGGCGACGGGUAGCCGGCCUGAGAGGGUGGACGGCCACAUUGGGACUGAGAUACGGCCCAGACUCCUACGGGAGGCAGCAGUGGGGAAUAUUGCACAAUGGGCGCAAGCCUGAUGCAGCGACGCCGCGUGGGGGAUGACGGCCUUCGGGUUGUAAACUCCCUUCGCUAGGGACGAAGCUUUUUGUGACGGUACCUAGAUAAGAAGCACCGGCUAACUACGUG
rnacentral:rRNA from 1 species